CCAACAAUUAAUUGAAGAAUUUUAAAGUUCUGAUUUUCGCUCAAUCAACAAUAUUCAUUAGGUUAAGGUGUGCCUUGUGAUUAAUUGUUAGAGUCUCAUUAUUUCACCAUCCAAUCUUCGUUUGACAUGCUUUAUUGUCGCCAGCUGAGUCUUUAUUGUCGAAAGCUCCUGUGUUGUAAGAAUUCGUUCUUGAUCCAGCAAAAGCUAACACACACUUCUUUUCAUAGUUUUUUUUAGUGCUCUGAUUAUCUCACAUAACGCAUAGAUCCAUAAUGUACAAUUUGAUCUUGUCGCAUUCCUAGUGCAUUCCAUUUGUAUUUACCGUUUUUAGUAUAUGGUUGUGAUAAAUAGUAUACCUAUUUUUUUUUCAUAGGAUAUGGGAGAGCUAGGGUGUAAUUUUGAAGUUUACCGCAAUGAUGAACUUACAGUAGAGGAGCUGAAAAGGCGAGAAGAAACCAAUGUGCAUUCAAAACGUUAUCUGGCUAAUCAAGUGGUGUUGAUUCCUUUAUUACGCUCUCAUUUUUUUUUGCAGUAAAAAGCCAAGAGGGGUGCUGAUUUUCCUGGCCCUGGUACCCCCACAAGACUCUGGGAUUUCCUUACAAACUGUUUUGGAACUCGGACCACAUGCCCCUUUAUUUUGGAGUAUGUAUAGGAGAAGCUUUUGGAGGAAAGAUUGUGCGGUCACCAUUUGGUGUUAUGCAUGGGAAAAGCUCCAUGGUUUACUAUGAUGAGAAAGGAGAAGAAGGCUUGUUCUCUGGCUUAUCAAAGUAUGAAUCUAACAAGAUUUAUGAAUAAAAACUGAAGAUUUAAGCCAUUGUAAUGUGAAGUCAGUGUCUUGUAGAAC